rnacentral:rRNA from 1 species
GAUGAACGCUGGCGGCGUGCCUAAUACAUGCAAGUCGAGCGAACAGACGAGGCGCUUGCUCCUCUGACGUUAGCGGCGGACGGGUGAGUAACACGUGGAUAACCUACCUAUAAGACUGGGAUAACUUCGGGAAACCGGAGCUAAUACCGGAUAAUAUAUUGAACCGCAUGGUUCAAUAGUGAAAGACGGUUUUGCUGUCACUUAUAGAUGGAUCCGCGCCGCAUUAGCUAGUUGGUAAGGUAACGGCUUACCAAGGCAAGGAUGCGUAGCCGACCUGAGAGGGUGAUCGGCCACACUGGAACUGAGACACGGUCCAGACUCCUACGGGAGGCAGCAGUAGGGAAUCUUCCGCAAUGGGCGAAAGCCUGACGGAGCAACGCCGCGUGAGUGAUGAAGGUCUUCGGAUCGUAAAACUCUGUUAUUAGGGAAGAACAAAUGUGUAAGUAACUAUGCACGUCUUGACGGUACCUAAUCAGAAAGCCACGGCUAACUACGUG